AGUCAAGUAAUUAAGUGCAUGUGGUGGAUGCCUUGGCAGUCAGAGGCGAUGAAAGACGUGAUAGCCUGCGAAAAGCUCCGGGGAGGCGGCAAAUAUCCUUUGAUCCGGAGAUGUCUGAAUGGGGGAACCCACCUACUUUAAGGUAGGUAUUGCAACAUGAAUACAUAGUGUUGCAAGGCGAACGAGGGGAAGUGAAACAUCUCAGUACCCUUAGGAAAAGAAAUCAAUUGAGAUUCCCUCAGUAGCGGCGAGCGAACGGGGAUCAGCCCAUUAAGUUAUGUGUGUUUUAGUGGAACGCUCUGGGAAGUGCGAACGUAGAGGGUGAUAUUCCCGUACACGAAAGGGCACACAUAAUGAUGACGAGUAGGGCGAGGCACGUGAAACCUUGUCUGAAUAUGGGGGGACCAUCCUCCAAGGCUAAAUACUCCUGACUGACCGAUAGUGAACCAGUACCGUGAGGGAAAGGCGAAAAGAACCCCUGUGAGGGGAGUGAAAUAGAUCCUGAAACCGCAUGCAUACAAGCAGUGGGAGCACCUUCGUGGUGUGACUGCGUACCUUUUGUAUAAUGGGUCAGCGACUUAUAUUCAGUAGCGAGGUUAACCGUAUAGGGGAGCCGUAGAGAAAUCGAGUCUUAAUAGGGCGUUUAGUUGCUGGGUAUAGACCCGAAACCAGGCGAUCUAUCCAUGAGCAGGUUGAAGGUUGGGUAACACUAACUGGAGGACCGAACCCACUGUCGUUGAAAAGCCAGGGGAUGACUUGUGGAUAGGGGUGAAAGGCUAAUCAAGCCUGGUGAUAGCUGGUUCUCCCCGAAAGCUAUUUAGGUAGCGCCUCGGACGAAUACCAUAGGGGGUAGAGCACUGUUUCGGCUAGGGGGUCAUCCCGACUUACCAAACCGAUGCAAACUCCGAAUACCUAUGAGUACUAUCCGGGAGACAGACUGCGGGUGCUAACGUCCGUAGUCAAGAGGAAAACAAUCCAGACCGCCAGCUAAGGCCCCAAAAUCAUAGUUAAGUGGGAAACGAUGUGGGAAGGCAUAGACAGCUAGGAGGUUGGCUUAGAAGCAGCCACCCUUUAAAGAAAGCGUAAUAGCUCACUAGUCGAGUCGGCCUGCGCGGAAGAUGUAACGGGGCUAAAACUAUGUGCCGAAGCUGCGGAUGUAUACUUUGUAUACGUGGUAGGGGAGCGUUCUGUAAGCCGAUGAAGGUGUGUUGAGAAGCAUGCUGGAGGUAUCAGAAGUGCGAAUGCUGACGUGAGUAACGACAAAACGGGUGAAAAACCCGUUCGCCGAAAGACCAAGGGUUCCAGUCCAACGUUAAUCGGGGCUGGGUGAGUCGACCCCUAAGGCGAGGCCGAAAGGCGUAGUCGAUGGGAAAAUGGUUAAUAUUCCAUUACUUCUGUGUAAUGCGAUGAGAGGACGGAGAAGGCUAAAUCAGCCUGGCGUUGGUUGUCCAGGUGAAAGGAUGUAGGCAUGUAUCUUAGGCAAAUCCGGGGUACUCUAUGCUGAGAUCUGAUAGCAAGCUGUACUUGUACAGCGAAGUGGUUGAUGCCAUGCUUCCAGGAAAAGUCUCUAAGCUUCAGUUACACAGGAAUCGUACCCGAAACCGACACAGGUGGUCAGGUCGAGUAGACCAAGGCGCUUGAGAGAACUCUGCUGAAGGAACUAGGCAAAAUGGUACCGUAACUUCGGGAGAAGGUACGCUGUUGUUGGUGAUGGAACUCGCUUCCUGAGCUGACGACAGCCGCAGAAACCAGGCCGCUGCAACUGUUUAUUAAAAACAUAGCACUCUGCAAACACGAAAGUGGACGUAUAGGGUGUGAUGCCUGCCCGGUGCUGGAAGGUUAAUUGAUGGGGUUAGCGUAAGCGAAGCUCUUGAUCGAAGCCCCAGUAAACGGCGGCCGUAACUAUAACGGUCCUAAGGUAGCGAAAUUCCUUGUCGGGUAAGUUCCGACCUGCACGAAUGGCAUAAUGAUGGCGGCGCUGUCUCCAGCAGAGGCUCAGUGAAAUCGAAAUCGCUGUGAAGAUGCAGUGUACCCGCGGCUAGACGGAAAGACCCCGUGAACCUUUACUGCAGCUUGACACUGAACUUUGACCUUACUUGUGUAGGAUAGGUGGGAGGCUUUGAAGCUGGAACGCUAGUUCCAGUGGAGCCGUCCUUGAAAUACCACCCUGGUAAUGUUGAGGUUCUAACUCUGUCCCGUGAUCCGGGACGAGGACCGUGUCUGGUGGGUAGUUUGACUGGGGCGGUCUCCUCCUAAAGAGUAACGGAGGAGUACGAAGGUGCGCUCAGCGUGGUCGGAAAUCACGCGUAGAGUAUAAAGGCAAAAGCGCGCUUAACUGCGAGACCCACAAGUCGAGCAGGUACGAAAGUAGGUCUUAGUGAUCCGGUGGUUCUGUAUGGAAGGGCCAUCGCUCAACGGAUAAAAGGUACUCUGGGGAUAACAGGCUGAUACCG
rnacentral:rRNA from 1 species